rnacentral:rRNA from 1 species
GAUCGAACGCUAGCGGCAGGCCUAAUACAUGACAAGUCGUACGCAACACAGUUGCGAGCAAUCGCAACCGGUGGCGAGUGGCGCACGGGUGAGUAACGCGUAUGUAACCUACCCUUCUCCGGGACAUAACUCCGCGAAAGCGGUGCUAAUAUCCCAUACCAACUCAUCAAGACAUCUUCUUGAGUUGAAAGCAGCAAUGCGGUGAAGGAUGGGCAUGCGUCCCAUUAGCUGGUUGGUGAGGUAAUGGCCCACCAAGGCUACGAUGGGUAGGGGUUCUGAGAGGAAAGCCCCCCCACACUGGUACUGAGACACGGACCAGACUCCUACGGGAGGCAGCAGUAAGGAAUAUUGGGCAAUGGUCGAAAGACUGACCCAGCCAUGCCGCGUGCAGGAUGAAGGCCCUAUGGGUUGUAAACUGCUUUUAGCCGGGAAUAAACACCCGUUUUAUAACGGGCCCGAAGGUACCGGCUGAAUAAGCAUCGGCUAACUCCGUG